rnacentral:rRNA from 1 species
UACGUAGGGUGCAAGCGUUGUCCGGAAUGAUUGGGCGUAAAGCGUCUGUAGGUGGCUUUUUAAGUCCGCCGUCAAAUCCCAGGGCUCAACUCUGGACAGGCGGUGGAAACUACCAAGCUGGAGUACGGUAGGGGCAGAGGGAAUUUCCGGUGGAGCGGUGAAAUGCGUAGAUAUGCGGAGGAACACCGAUGGCGAAGGCAAUCCCCUGGACCUGUACUGACGCUCAUGCACGAAAGCGUGGGGAGCAAACAGG